rnacentral:rRNA from 1 species
GGAAUUGACGGGGACCCGCACAAGCGGUGGAUGAUGUGGAUUAAUUCGAUGCAACGCGAAAAACCUUACCUACCCUUGACAUGGCAAGAACCUCCGAGAGAUUGGAGGGUGCUCGAAAGAGAACUUGCACACAGGUGCUGCAUGGCUGUCGUCAGCUCGUGUCGUGAGAUGUUGGGUUAAGUCCCGCAACGAGCGCAACCCUUGUCAUUAGUUGCUACGCAAGAGCACUCUAAUGAGACUGCCGGUGACAAACCG